CCCCGCCCACCCGCCAGCCAGCCCCUUAGCUCUACGGACCCCAGCAGGCAUGUUGGGAGGAAUGCAGUCGUGUCUGGGGCUGUCUGACGCGUCCCAUCUCCCCAGACAGGCCCUGACAGCCCCCGCUGGAGGCUCCAACGCUCUUCCUAGGAUCAACUGCUUCCACAAAGGAAGCAAAACCUCCUUCUCCCCCCAACCCCGACUGCCAUCAAAGCAGACACCAGAAAGCACCCCCUCACCAGGGCUUAGGAGCUUGGGAGACAACGCUGAGACAGACACUGGAGGCUGUGGGCUCCCCAAAUCUGCCGCCCAAGGACUCUCAAGGAUGUGAGAAACCAUGGAUAAAAUCCCUAGAGCACAGGACACAGGAAAAGCUCUCCUCUUCUACCCUCUACCCUGAUUCAGUGGAACCCAAAAGAAGCUUCUUCCUUGCCAGCCUCCAAGGGAAAACUAAAAGUAAAGAGGUCUCUGCCCUUAGGAAGCCGGCAACCUGCAAGGAGAAAGAGGACACACAUCAAAAUUACUUAAGAUGCGGACAAACAGAAGAAAAGUGCAAUCCUGGCAGCCCGGCUGGCUCAGCAGGUUAGCGCCACCUUCAGUCCAGGACAUGAUCCUGGAGACCCAGAUGGAGUCCCACGUCGGGCUCCCUGCAGGGAGCCUGUUUCUCCCUCUGCCUGUGUCUCUGCCUCUCCCUCUCUCUCUCUCCGAUCUCUCUCUCUCUCUCUCUCUCUCUCUCUCUCUCUCUCUCUCUCUCUCUCCCCCUCUGUCUUUCAUGAAUAAAUAAAUAAAAUAUUUAAAAAACAACAACAACAACAAAAAGUGCAAUCCAUAUGUAUUAGUUUCCUGGGACUGCCGUAACAAAUCACCACAAAUGUUGUGGGUUAAAACAAUAGAAGUAUAUUCUCUCACUGCUCUGGAGGUCAGAAGCCCAAAAUCAAGGUGUCGUCAGGGCCACACUCCCUCUGAAGGCUCCAGGGGACAGCCCUUACUUACCUCUUCCAGCUUCUGGUGGCUCCCUGCAUUCCUUGGUCUGUGGCAACAAAACUCUAAUCUCUGCCUCCCCAUCUUCACAUGGCCCUUUAUGUCUCAAUCUUUCUCUCUGUGUGUCCUUUUCUGCCUCUUUUAAGGACACUCCUUGGGUUCAGCGCUCACCCUAACCCAGUGUGAUCUCAAUUCUCACCAUAAUGAAUGACAUCUGCAGAGACCCUAUUUCUAAAUAAGUCACAAAUUUCAAGGUUCCAGUGGACGUGACUUUGCAGGGGAUACUGUUCAACCCACAACACAUGUGACAGACCAGGAGCUAUCCACAAUGCAAGGGGAGAGGUGGUGAACAGUUGGUGGAGGCAUGACUGUAACAAGAUGUGGGCAGGGCCAGUCUGGAAGGCUUCUGGGGGCAGCUGGUAGCUCCACAAAGAAAGGUACUAGGGGAUGGGGCAGCAGAGAGACAGAAUUCUCAGGAGUCCGGGCCACACUUCCCACCACCCAAUUUCUCCGGGCCCUUUAUACAUAAAAAAUUGCUCUGGGAGAGAGCCCUUUUUUAUUUUUGUUUUUAAAUUUUUCUUCUGAAAUCAUAGAAAAAGUUGCAAAAAUAGUACAGAGAAUUCAUGUGCAACUUUCACCCAGCUUCCCCAUUAUGGUCAUGGUGCAUAACCAUUGUUCAAUUAUCAAAACAAAUAAAUUAACAUUGACCUUAAUGUCCCUUUCUGUUGUGGGAUACCAUAUUUCAUUGGUUGUCAGGUCAGCUUGGUCUCUCCCUGCCUGUGACAGCUCCUUAGUCCAUCCUUUUCUUUCAUGACCUUGACAGUUUGGAAGAGGCUUAGUCAAAAGGAUAUCCCUCAGUUUGGGUUUUCCUCA